rnacentral:ncRNA from 1 species
CAAAGGUUUGGUCCUGACUUUACUGUCAGCUUUAGCUAAACUUACACAUGCAAGUAUCCGCAUCCCCGUGAGAAUGCCCUAACAGUCAUCCAUACGAAGACAAGGAGCUGGUAUCAGGCACACUCUUACACAGAAGCCCACGACGCCUUGCUCAGCCACACCCCCAAGGGAAUUCAGCAGUGAUUAACAUUAAGCCAUGAGUGUAAACUUGACUUAGUUAAAGCUAAGAGGGCCGGUAAAACUCGUGCCAGCCACCGCGGUUAUACGAUAGGCCCAAGUUGACAGACCCCGGCGUAAAGCGUGGUUAGGGAAAACUCAAAACUAAAGCCGAAUAUCUUCAGGGCAGUUAUACGCUUCCGAAGACACGAAGCCCUUCCACGAAAGUGACUUUAUUACCCCCGACCCCACGAAAGCUAGGACACAAACUGGGAUUAGAUACCCCACUAUGCCUAGCCGUAAACAUUGAUAGAAUUAUACACCUCUCUAUCCGCCCGGAUAUUACGAGCAUUAGCUUGAAACCCAAAGGACUUGGCGGUACUUUAGAUCCCCCUAGAGGAGCCUGCUCUAUAACCGAUAACCCCCGUUAAACCUCACCCUCCCUUGUUUUUUCCGCCUAUAUACCACCGUCGUCAGCUCACCCUGUGAAGGCCUAAUAGUAAGCAAAAUUGGCACAGCCCAGAACGUCAGGUCGAGGUGUAGCGCAUGAGAGGGGAAGAAGUGGGCUACAUUCGCUAACUUAGCGAAUCACGGACGAUGAAUUGAAAACAUUCAUCCUUAAAGGAGGAUUUAGCAGUAAGUGGAAAAUAGAGUGUUCCACUGAAAUCGGCUCUGAAGUGCGUACACACCGCCCGUCACUCUCUCCAAGCCCACCCAAUUACCUAACAUAACUAAUUAUACCCAAACUGCAAAGGAGAGGCAAGUCGUAACAUGGUAAGUGUACCGGAAGGUGCACUUGGAAAAAU